CGAAGGGAGCAGGAGGAGGAGACACGCGGAAAUGCGAGAUUCCCCGAUGUCAAUGGGUCAAAAUGCCAGUGAUGGUAUGCAGAAAGAGAGAGAGAGAGAUACUAUCGCCCGGAAGAAUUGACCAUAAAGUAAAGAAUUCACCAUAAGUGGGCGCUGCUACUGGCAUUCUCAAUUUCAACGCGAAUGAAUCGUAAAGUGGUGAAAUAUUCGGGAUUACUUGCCUCGAUUUAUUAGAAUCUUGACCUACGACGUGGAAGAUUCGUCGAAGCUUUACACUGUUCUUCCGACCAGCUAUUAAGGUCCUAGCGC
rnacentral:misc_RNA from 1 species